GAAACCCGUGGCGAUAGAAGAUCCUUGGAAGAAGGAAAUGCACGUGGGACGAGGAAGCGGACUUCGCUGGGCUGGGACGCGCUCAUUGCGGGAUUAUCGGGUGUCGUUAAAUCGAAGGUUUCGUCACUUGGCCGACGUUCUGCGACACUGCGGACGUUUCUAUGAAUGAGUGGAUUAAUGCGCACAGGACAAAGGACUGAACGAGCUGAGCCAUGG
rnacentral:lncRNA from 1 species